rfam:Astyanax mexicanus chromosome 19, whole genome shotgun sequence.
UCAAAGGUUCUUUAACGCAGUACUAUAGAAGAACCACAUCAGAAAUAAAAAAGAUAUUUA